rnacentral:rRNA from 1 species
GAGGAAUAUUGGUCAAUGGGCGAGAGCCUGAACCAGCCAAGUCGCGUGAAGGAUGACUGUCUUAUGGAUUGUAAACUUCUUUUAUACGGGAAUAACAAGAGUCACGAGUGACUCCCUGCAUGUACCGUAUGAAUAAGCAUCGGCUAACUCCGUGCCAGCAGCCGCGGUAAUACGGAGGAUGCGAGCGUUAUCCGGAUUUAUUGGGUUUAAAGGGUGCGUAGGCGGCCUGUUAAGUCAGCGGUGAAAUCUAGGAGCUUAACUCCUAAAUUGCCAUUGAUACUGGCGGGCUUGAGUGUAGAUGAGGUAGGCGGAAUGCGUGGUGUAGCGGUGGAAUGCAUAGAUAUCACGCAGAACUCCGAUUGCGAAGGCAGCUUACUAAGGUACAACUGACGCUGAAGCACGAAAGCGUGGGUAUUAAACAGGAUUAGAUACCCUGGUAGUCCACGCAGUAAACGAUGAUAACUGGGCGUAUGCGAUAUACAGUAUGCUCCUAAGCGAAAGCGUUAAGUUAUCCACCUGGGGAGUACGCCGGCAACGGUG